UUCGUGUCUGCCCUUCCAUUAUGUGACUCAAGAAAAAAUUCCAAAAAAUGGGUAACAAUUGUAUCGAAAAGAGAAAAUCGAGUGCACCUUUUUAUGUUAGGGCGUGUUUGAGUUGAAUAUUUUGUCUUGAUAUCGUACAAAGCAAGAAUAUUUCAUACAUCGUCUCGCUUCAGAUUCUAUCAUUUUUAUAUAUCAAAGCUACAGGUUGACUUCAUAAC
rnacentral:lncRNA from 1 species